rnacentral:rRNA from 1 species
AGAGUUUGAUUCUGGCUCAGGAUGAACGCUGGCGGCGUGCUUAACACAUGCAAGUCGAACGAAACAUUUACCGAACGAGGCUUCGGCCAAGCAAGGUUUAUGAUUUAGUGGCGGACGGGUGAGUAACGCGUGAGCAACCUGCCUUUCAGAGGGGGAUAACGUUUGGAAACGAACGCUAAUACCGCACAACGUAAGGAUAUCGCAUGGUAACCUUACCAAAGAUUUUUAUCGCCGAAAGAUGGGCUCGCGUCCGAUUAGGUAGUUGGUGAGGUAACGGCCCACCAAGCCGACGAUCGGUAGCCGGACUGAGAGGUUGAACGGCCACAUUGGGACUGAGACACGGCCCAGACUCCUACGGGAGGCAGCAGUGGGGAAUAUUGCACAAUGGGCGCAAGCCUGAUGCAGCAACGCCGCGUGAGGGAAGACGGUUUUCGGAUUGUAAACCUCUGUUCUUAGUGACGAAGAAGUGACGGUAGCUAAGGAGCAAGCCACGGCUAACUACGUGCCAGCAGCGGC